UACGUAGGGAGCAAGCGUUAUCCGGAUUUAUUGGGUGUAAAGGGUGCGUAGACGGGAAGGCAAGUUGGUUGUGAAAUCCCUCGGCUUAACUGAGGAACUGCAACCAAAACUAUCUUUCCUGAGUGCUGGAGAGGAAAGUGGAAUUCCUAGUGUAGCGGUGAAAUGCGUAGAUAUUAGGAGGAACACCAGUGGCGAAGGCGACUUUCUGGACAGUAACUGACGUUGAGGCACGAAAGUGUGGGGAGCAAACAGG
rnacentral:rRNA from 1 species